GUAUCAGUGAUUGGAUCCAAGGGAAUUCCGAAACUCAAACGGUCCAUUAUCGCAGCUCUGGGGUGGGCGAGGGGUGAGGGGGCCGGGUUUCCGCGAAGGGGGAGGGGGGGAAGGCGAAGGCCGCCUAGGACAGUCACGUGUCUACUGUUUCCGCCGGCGUUCGAUAAGACCUCGCGAGAAUUACGUUCCCCCUCCCUUUCUGCCGCACGGGCUGUCGGGAAGAAGGUCUGCGUUCUUGGAUGCGACCAGGAGUCUCGCUCAAAGCACUCUACUGAGUACGAAAGCUCAAGUAACUCUCAUCUCCUGCCUGGUCCGCGCCAUUAUCCCCUUGAUGAGGAGCGUGAACGCGCAGCUGCACCCGGACACAGCGGCCACCUGAAUAACUAUUGCUCUCGAUUAAUGAUUGCUCCGAGAGGGCUGCCCUACCAUUUCUCACUUCUUUUCGUCUUUGAAUUGUUCUUAAGUGGCUUAACAGACUACAUCCGUUAACUUCUCGGAAGCCCUUUUGUAAAGUCAUUCUGAUCGUGCUGUUUGAUUCCGUUGCUUAGGUAAUAAGCACGCCUGGGUGGUUCUUGCCCCCUACUGGCUGACCGUCCCGCAUGUGAGCCAACCGAGAGCAGUUAAGGUUAAAGUUGGUGUACUCCAAGAAAAAGUAUGGAAGGGGAAAGGGGCAUAGCGAGG
rnacentral:lncRNA from 1 species